ACGGGAGGCAGCAGUGGGGAAUAUUGCACAAUGGAGGAAACUCUGAUGCAGCGACGCCGCGUGAGUGAAGAAGUAUUUCGGUAUGUAAAGCUCUAUCAGCAGGGAAGAGAAUGACGGUACCUGACUAAGAAGCACCGGCUAAAUACGUGCCAGCAGCCGCGGUAAUACGUAUGGUGCAAGCGUUAUCCGGAUUUACUGGGUGUAAAGGGAGCGCAGGUGGCCUGGCAAGCCAGAAGUGAAAGCCCGGGGCUUAACCCCGGGACUGCUUUUGGAACUGUUGGGCUGGAGUGCAGGAGGGGUAAGCGGAAUUCCUGGUGUAGCGGUGAAAUGCGUAGAUAUCAGGAGGAACACCGGUGGCGAAGGCGGCUUACUGGACUGUAACUGACACUGAGGCUCGAAAGCGUGGGGAGCAAACAGGAUUAGAUACCCUGGUA
rnacentral:rRNA from 1 species